rfam:Mangrovibacter sp. MFB070 Contig-002, whole genome shotgun sequence.
GGAGUUGAUAAUGAAGCAGAUAUCAGGAUGAUGUCUCUUCAAACAGGACACACCAGAAGGUGCAACAGGGAAGGCUUCAGGAUGAAGCAAAGAGGAUAGCGCAAGGUUGCGCAAAAGGACACCUCCAGGAUGGAGAAUGAGAGCCCGACAGGAGUCAGGUGGGUCAGGAUGACUUAAGGACAGAUGCGUCGGGGGGCGCUUGUAGCAUCGGGAAGACGCGUGCAGGAAGCACUAACACGGAUUGUUAAUCAGGAAAAGUUGUCAAGGAUGAGCAGGGAGCACAAUGAGUAGCCGGAUAGCUGCUAAACGAACCGGGAGCACUGUUUAACAGUGCUCCCUUUUUUUAUU